UACGUAGGGGGCAAGCGUUGUCCGGAUUUAUUGGGCGUAAAGAGCGUGUAGGCGGCUUGGUAGGUCUCGCGUCAAAACCUGAGGCUCAACCUCAGUUCGCGUGGGAAACCACCUAGCUAGAGUCCGGAAGAGGAGAACGGAAUUCCCAGUGUAGCGGUGAAAUGCGCAGAUAUUGGGAAGAACACCAGUGGCGAAGGCGGUUCUCUGGGACGGUACUGACACUGAGACGCGAAAGCGUGGGGAGCAAACAGG
rnacentral:rRNA from 1 species